rnacentral:lncRNA from 1 species
AGAAUAUUCUGCUUAGUUAAGUGGAAAAAUAGUAUCUAUGUCGUCCCAUUUUUGGAUCUUGUUUAGAGGGGCAGAUUUUGCGCGUUGUAUUGUUGUAUAAAAAAACAUCCAAUGGAUAGUUUGAAGUAUACAUUCUUUGCUUUGUAGUACUCCGUAUCUGACAUAGUCAGUUGUUACUCAGUAUCAAAACAGAACCAGCAGCACUAUUCGGGCACAUAUGAAAAGGGCGAAGAAGUAGAAGGGUGAUUUCGAGUUGCAUUGUAUUCAUUCCGUAACUAAAGUGGCAGAUUUUUUGAAUUUAUAUACAUGUUCCGCUUGGAUCUCACUGUGACAGACAGGAUGGCCUGGUCGUGCUGCUGCCUUGUUCCUGGUGUUCUAGGAGUCCUGGUCCUGGAGGUUUCAAAGUCGCAUUGGACCUCCGGUUCCGGUAGUGUGUCCGUAGAAAUUUUUCUUGGUAGAACUUCACCAGGCAAUUCGUACUCCUCCAUCCGAAAAUACUUGUCAUCAAAAUGAAUAAAAAAAGAAGUUGCUUAGAGACAAGCAAAUGUUCAAUGACAAAAUUAUCAUAUAGGAAAGUGUUAUUGGGGCCUAAAACCAAUACUCUGCAGCAUUUUUGGUAUUCCCUUGGGCUGGGUUUAGAAGGCAUAGUUUGUUGUCCUUUUUUUCAAGCACACACAAGAGAAUUGCGUGUUUUUUAUAUUAAGGAGAGGGAAAACAGUUACAAGAUGUUACAGCAGCGCUGACGAAACAGCACAAUCCACGGAUAGAAACUAUUAAACGCUAAGUCACUCCUCUCGAUAGCCCACCUAGCUUGGCUCUAAUCCACAUUUGAAAUUCCUCUUGGACACGCCGAAUUACCACAUGAGGCAUGGUAGCAACUUUAUCAAACUCUCGUUUAUUGCGCUCAAGCCAGAUGGAGCGUAGCACAAGGCAUACCAUGGUGUUGAUUCUCCCAUGGCCACCAAUUCUUGAUGUUGUCCUAAGUCAAACUAUUCUAACGUUGAUAGUGUUCGGAGGAAAAUGUCAACAUCUAUGAAUUUUCCUUGAUACUUAGGAGUAUGAUUUGCUCACUGCAAGCAUUCAAGGCCAUGCUUAGGUUAACCCGAAGUUGGGUAAGCAAAACACCAGUGGGGUAUCCCUGCAGAAGCCUAUCGCCUCCCAUGUAUGGGUAAGAGCAUCUCCAACAACCGCGCCAAACUAGCGCCGCGCCGUAAAAUUUCCCGUUUUAGCGCACGCGCAACCGGAAUAGUUGCUUCAGCGGGCGCGUGAAAACAGCGCGCGCGGCAUAUGUAGUUCAGCGCGCGGGCCGAAACUCAAUCAUGCGUCGCUUAUUUGCUGCGCGCUGGACUCUCGCGCGCUGGACUCUCGCGCGCUCGCUUGCACCUCCCACCCCCCAUCCAGCCGCGCCGCCGCCGCCGACCGCGCCACCCGGCGACCGUUCCGGCGCUUCCCCGGCCUAUCCCCGCCCCGCGGCGGCUUCUCCGCCCCCUUCUAGUCCCGCCGCUCCUCGCGCGCGUCUGUCCUCCGACGAACAGCGCGCGCGCGCUCGCUGCCGCUCGGCGCCCGCAAGGUGUUCGACAAAACGCCUAGAAGGUAUGUAUUGCUCAAAAGCCAUGAAUUUCGUGCAUAUUGAUUGUAAUUUUUUAUAGUAUAGUAUUGAACAUUGUAGAUGAGUUCGUCGUAUGAUUCUUCCGAAGAAGAAUUUGAUAUGGAAGAGGAGGAGAAUCUUGCAAUGAUCCUAGCUAUGCAUAUCAAUAAAAAACCGAAGCACGGUGGUUCGGUUAUGGGUCGGCAGAAAAUUUGGAGGGAUGGGAUCGAUGCCCACAACAGAUUGAUCAGGCAUUAUUUUGCGGAGAAUCCCACAUACCCCGAGUCGUAUUUUCGUCGCCGGUUUAGGAUGAGCACCAAGUUGUUCAGGCGCAUUGCAGAGAAACUAGCGAGUCAUGACCGCUUUUUUCAGCAAAGGAGGAAUGCCGCCGGAGAGCUCGGGCAUAGCACCUUUCAGAAGGUGACAGCCGCUUUGCGUAUGUUGGCAUACGGUAUACCGGCUGAUCUAGUUGAUGAUCACUUGGCUAUAGGCGAGAGCCAAGUCAUCAUGUGUGUCAAGCGCUUCGCAGUCGGAAUUGUGCAAGUGUUUGGCGAGGAGUAUUUGAGAUCUCCCAAUGCUGAAGACGUCGCAAGGCUAUUGGCGAUGAACAAAGCUCGCGGCUUUCCUGGCAUACUUGGCUCAAUAGAUUGCAUGCAUUGGAGUUGGAAGAAUUGUCCAAAGGCAUGACAUGGGCAAUUCCACGGACAAAAAAAGGGUUCCACUAUAAUCCUUGAAGCGGUGGCCGAUCAAGAGAGUUGGAUUUGGCAUGCAUUCUUUGGAAUGCCUGGAUCUUUGAAUGACAUCAAUAUUGUCAACCGGUCACCACUGAUGAAUAAGAUUGCAAAUGGUGAGUUGCCACCAGUGCAGUUUGUAGCAAAUGGCCGUACAUAUAACUAUGGCUAUUAUCUAGUGGACGACAUCUAUCCAAAGUGGCAAACCUUUGUCAAGCCGUUGAAAAAGCCAGAAGGUAAGAAAGAACUUGAUUUCCACAAUGCUCAGGCGGCGGCUAAAAAAGAUGUGGAGAGAGUUUCUGGAAUUUUGCAAGCCCAAUUUGCUAUUGUGAAAGGACCGGCUAGAUUUUGGAAUCAGAAAAUGCUUUGGUACAUCAUGCACGCUUGUGUGAUCAUGCAUAACAUGAUCAUCGAGAAUGAGCGUGGCCAAGAUGUAGACUACUCUCAGUAUGAGCUCUUGGGAUAUCCCAUGCGAGUGUGACGGAGGGCUGAAAGGGUGGCCCGUUUUGUUGCCUCCUAUCGUGCCAUUCGACACCCCACAGUGCAUAAUGAUCUUCAGAAAGAUCUCACUGAUGAGUGGUGGGCAUGGAAUGGACGAUAAAGAGCAUCAUGAUUUGUGCGUUCGAUAUUGUAUUGUUGAACUAUUUAUUGUGUUGAAUUGCACUAUUUGUUGUAUUGAAUGAUAAACUGUUUGUUUGAGUUGUAAUAACGAAAUUUAACUAUUUAUUUUGAUUUAUUUUUGUUUGUGUUUGAUCUUUUCUGUUUUGGAAUGCAUAUGUUGUUUGUGCGAGAAUCGCGCGCGCUGCAUUUUUACGCGCUGCUGGAGCGCUGCGCGCCGCGCCAAACCAGACGAUGGGCGCGUAACAAAGCUGUUUUUUGCGCGCGGCACAUUCGGCGCCUGUUGGAGAUACUCUAACCAUUUGCCGUAAGAAGCGCAGCUCCGAGAGUGACAGUUUGGUCUGGCAUCACCGACCAAGGCAUUGGUAUUUCUUAGUUUCCUCGCAUGAAAAAAUCGGUGAGGAGUCUCUGAAUCUUGGGAUCAUGGUGCUUCCACCAAGUAGCACAACGUCAUCAAUCAGCUCCUUGCUCCUGUCUAGUUGAGCCUCUCUCAUGGCACUCUCCACCAAUGCCAUGCCUUUAAGGAACAAGUCAUGCUUGAUCAGCUUGACGAAGUGGUCGACGAUCCUCUGCUCCAGGUCCUGUCCUCCAAGGAAAACAUCAUCGUCUGCCCCAUGAACUCCAACACACCGUCGCAAGCUCUGCCAAGUUUGAGUCGCAGAGUAAUCAGGGCUAGGUUGAUUAGUUAGUUUUUUUUUUGGGGUAAAAUUGAUUAGUUAGUCAAAAGUCCUCCCUCUACGUAUUGGAGAUUGCUAGUUGUCUGUUUUUUUUUCUUUCUAUUCGAGUCCUCUCCCCCUGGACAUAUAGUUCUCUAAAAUCCCAGAGUCCACGAGUUUUGAUUAGGACAUGUACAAUAGUUGAUAAAAUAAUCUUAUCCUAAAUAUUGCAUGCAAUUUAGAGAUGACAAAAAAGUACUCCCUCCGUAAACUAAUAUAAGAGCGUUUAGAUUACUACUUUAGUGAUCUAAAUGCUCUUACAUUAGUUUACAGAGGGAGUAUGUCUAUAAUGGGUUAUAUCUUGGCCUUAUCUUCAAUAACUAGCAAUUUCUUAAAAUAUGGUGAGACAAAUUGUGCUAAGAGAUCAUCUCUUGUCUUAUCUUAAAUAAAAGAAGACAAUUUUUUUUUAUGAGUUCUCUUUUUUCUACAUCAUCAUUUAUCCUACGUGCCACUUCUAAAAUAGUACCAUUGUACAUGUCCUUAGUCGUUAGGAUACGUAGUCUCGAUAAAAGCAUAAACCCUUACUGUCAGCGACCCAAUUACAGCCACAGCAGGCCAUGGGCCUGGCCUGGCUGAGUGCCACACCAAGGGGGGCCUGACUACAAGUAUCAACGUAGAGCACAGUGAAGAUUCAUCCGGGCUUGGAUCAGGCAUACGGCACGGCGGCUCCCUCCUUCUCCUACCUCUUGUACUUCCUUCUUCCUCCCCUUCCAAAUUGCCUUGUAUCAGACCUUGAUUCCCCUGUAAUGAAGUAAUCCAUGAGUGGAACCUAACAUCGUGGUAUCAAAGCCUUCCUCCACCCUUCUGACUUGCCACAAAUCCUCUCGAGUUCGUUCAAUUUUUGCCAUUUUUUCCCCCAACCAUGCAUCCUGAGUUGAAAGCUUACCUUGACGAGUUCGAGGCGAAGGCCCAGGCACGCCACGACGCCAGUGCCAGGCUGUUCGACGCGUUGUUCUGCAAGCUCAUCACGGGAGCUUCGACCCCUCAGCCGGCGCGCUCCGAGGUCAUGGCCUCCGAUGGCGGCCUCAUCCACAAUACCCUUGUUCCCGGUGUCGUCCCCGACGUCUUCUCCGCCCCCUUUUCCACCAGCAAAGCCCAGGAGGUCCUCGAGCUCAUCACCGAUGCGUCCCCCGCGUGCAUCGCGAGGGCGCCCGUCACCUGUUCGACAGAUUGCUCGAACCAAGUCCUCGCGGGCGUCUUGACUCCACAGCCGGUGCGUCCCAUGGGCACGGCAGCCGAUGGCGGCCUCACCGACGACGCAAGAGUCCCCACGGUCAUCCCCGACGCCUUCUCCUCCACCACCAAUUCCAAGGGGUUCAUGGCGUCCCCCCAUGGUGCAUUUUUGGACUCCAUCAACCCGAUGCCCAUGACCUGUUCGACGAAUGGCUCGACCCAGGUCGACGCCGUCGCCAAUGUCGAUGAGACCCAAGACGCCGCCACCACCACCGUCCACCCCGAGCACGCGGACAUCGUCAACUACACGAAGGUCACGCAGCUCAUACCGGUGCAGGCAACGCUCUCCAUCGACAUCAGCACCUGCUCUGCCGAGGUCAUUUCCUCAACGGCAACCACCACCGACACCAUCCCCAUGGCAACCAAACCAGCUCCAACCAAGUGCUCGGCAGAAGCUCCUGCCCAUGCGAGUGUCUGGGUGCAGCCUCUGAUCGCCACCAUCGAUAGUGUCGACGAGACAUAUGACACCACCACCGAACACCUGCACCCGCCUUCCUUCGAACAUCGACCAUGGCCACCGCCUAUACAAGUGCAGAUCAAUCACGCGGGACACCUCUUCAGGCCAAGUCCGUGGCCGUCGUUCACACCUCUGUCAAACACAACCUACCCGGAAAGACCAUGUUCAGGUAUACAUCGUCAAUCACAUGGAGGUCCCUGCUUCAGUCCUUGGUUAAUUAGGUUGAUGUUCAGAGAUGUUCCCCUGGAGGAGCCUAGCCAUUGUUUUCCAGCUCCAGAGAUGCAGCUUGAGUGUAAAAUUGGGUCAGCUAUGGGCUUGUUCUGUCCCUGAUCAGAAAAAUGGCAUCCCCUCAAUCAAACAAGUCUUCAUAUCGACCGGAUUGUGCAACCAAACGUGCACUAGUACAGAACACCGAGAAACACUUCACCUCAUCCGUGCAGCAAUGGGUGUUGGAUAUUUCUGUAGAUUUCAGUCAGACAUCCUUGGAGGAACUCUCUGUCCAUUCAGUUGCAGGCUAUCCUUUCAGUUGUUUCUUAGGCGCACAAUUGCAGUCCGGGCGUCCACUGGAUCAGGCACCAUCUGAUAUUAAAGGAUUAAUUGAGUUAGAAUUUCUCGGUGUGUAUACUCGGUUUGACCAUUUGGUGUCAUUUGCUGCUGCUAUUCCUGUGUCAUGUACAGUCUUCUCCAGCCAUGAGUCAAUGAGGCUUCAUCACAGGUUGACACAAUGCAUGCGACAUCAGGUUCGCCAAUUGCAUUUUCCUGGACAGACUAAGUGGCCAUGCACAUUUAGAACUGACAAGCGAAAGUCAUGGUAUCCACCUCAAGGCCUCUUGUGAGACCAAUAUACGGGUGAGCGUCAUGAACAUAUUUGCCUUGAUACUAUCUGUCGUGCCUUGCAUACAAAGAGCACUUGUUCUGAAUAUUAUGCACAAAUUUCAAUGGAGCAAGAUUCUCAGAAGUGGUCGAUGUUACUCCAUUUGAAUCAGUGGGCUCCCCUUGAAUAUUUGGGAAUGUCGUACUCCAGUCAAAUCAGUCUCUGUGAUUGCACUGUAUAUACAAAUAAUUCAGUACAACGCUGGGUAUUGGGUGUCUCUGCAAGUAUAAGUACUGAUGCAUGGUUCAGCUUGAGAUUCCUUGGAACAGACUGUAGGCUAAUUGAUACUGAUACACAUGCAAGACGUUGGAUUUAUUUGGAUUUCAGCAACAUUGGAUUUCAGGGCCGUCAGUCCUAUUCAUGCUCUAUAUUGCACCUGAUGGCAGAAGCUGAAUAUUUUGCCCAUUGGAUUAUCAUUUAUAAGUUCUAUCGAGAGGCACUUACUCUAGCAAGGGAGUUAUGGCAUACACACCAAUUCAGAUUUUUCAGUGUCACUUUUGUUCAUCUUGUACAGUGGCACAACAUGCUUCUUGCUCAUGGAUCAGUACUCUGCACAGUGCAUAAAAGGGUGCUACAGAUUGUGGAAGAAUUAAGGGACCUCAUACCUACAAUAUUGCUUAGGAACAAUGGUUCAAAAAAUUCAGUUGCGGAGCUCACAUAUAGUACAAGUAUAUGGAAUCGAGACGGCUGCAACUUUGUGAUUUGGACGACGCCCAUCAAUGAAGAGUCGACUUCAACUGUAAUUCCACCUGUGAGAAGUUAUUUCAAUGAGUUUACAAGUUCUCGUUCACUGAUGCAUUCAGUACAUGCAUUCAGUUAUAGCAUGCCAAGUGCGACAACUCUCAAAUGGGCUACAAAAUUCGAAGCUCUUAUUCUGGGCAAGCUGUCUCAGAUCUUUUGUUCGCAAUUAGUCCAACUAAAACACCGAUGGCCUUUCUCUGUUGCAGCCAUGUCCAUUCAGCAACUCUUAUUUCGCAUGAAGACUAGUACUGAAUCUGUGACACUACUGAAGAUUUAUUCAAUAAUGUUUCAAGAUUGGAUUGCUCAUUUCCUUGGCCGUACUUCAGCUAGUGGCUAUCACCUUGGGCAGUUGUGGGAUCCCAGAGGCCUUGCAAUUAAUCUAUGCAGUACACGUGCACUGACAUUCCCAAUACAAUAUCUGAUUGAGUUCUGGAGUGCAUGUGUGCUUUAUGUAUGCACGCAAAUGAGACUGGAGAAGCCAAUGACCAGAGAUGAACUCAAUCAGUGGAUGGCCAUAAUUUUCUUCUUUGGAACAUUGAGGUUUGAUUGCAGCCUUGACACGUUGCUAGUGCUACUGGGGUUCUUGCCACCAUUUUGUUGCCAGUCAAGCAAGUCCACGAGGAGUGGGAAAAUCUGUGUGUUUGGCGCAUCUGAUGAUCUAGGGAGCUUCAUGGUUGUCCAGGGAGACUAUUGGUUUUCAGCUUCAAAUCAUGAAAAAUCAAGGGAGGGGUUUCAUCAGUGUCGCUGCCCUCUUCAUGCAAGGCAUCGUCGACCACAAGUUUUACCUCGGCCUCGACCAAGUUCCGCAUGGCAGCGCCUCAGCCACGACCGCUUCUCCAAGUUCGUUCAAGUCCACCUCGAUAAUUGCUACUUCCGUGACAAAUACCAUGAAGAAUCUGACACGAUCAAGGAUCUUCAAGCACCCUAGGACCCUGGUGAGCUCUGUGUGACAGCGGCUUGGGGUCAAGCCGAAUCUCAAGGGGUAGGGAAUGUCAGCGACCCAAUUACAGCCACAGCAGCCCAUGGGCCUGGCCUGGCUGAGUGCCACACCAAGGGGGGCCUGACUACAAGUAUCAACGUAGAGCACAGUGAAGAUUCAUCCGGGCUUGGAUCAGGCAAACGGCACGGCGGCUCCCUCCUUCUCCUACCUCUUGUACUUCCUUCUUCCUCCCCUUCCAAAUUGCCUUGUAUCAGACCUUGAUUCCCCUGUAAUGAAGUACUCUAUGAGUGAAACCUAACACCCACUCAGCUCGCAGCUCCAACAAACGCCGUCCCAGGAAGCCGGUCAUUGCCCCCAAAUCCAGGUGAGGUCUUCCUCCUCUCUCUGACUUUUGCUUUCGCCUUCUAGAUUAGAUUAGAGGGUUUCGACGACGACUUUCAUCAGGCUAACAAUGCGACUUAGUAUUGGAUUUCUUCGUCAUCGUUUGAGAAACAACCGGUUCUUUCUAACCUCCCAACUUGUGGAGUGUUCCCCCCUUAGACCUUCUGAUCGCUCCGAUUUAGUUAGGGUUUAACAAGAUAUCAAGAAUCUUUAUCAAGAUUAGACAUCUUGUCCAUUGUGCCCUCACUAAGGCGCCACGAUUAAUUUCACUUGCAGACCAAGUGGAGACAAGAGGACGGGGCAGAGCUAUACAUGGGCAACUCCGGGAGCACAGGUUUGUUAAUUUGUCUGCCCAAUUCAACUUCAGACUGCUACUUUAUACUAUUAUUAGUGGUGUCACCUCUUACAAAUCACCGUAUGCAAGAUUUUCAUUCAUAUAAUUUUGACUUGUUGCCUUCUUCGGUGGAAAUUUCAGCUCCUGCAAGAUUAGGAGAGGCCCAUGUUCCACAUUUUAAAUGGAAGGUUCAUGACUUCUCAGCGCUACUUGAGACGGAAGCUACCACGGCGUUCUCUGCUGCUUUUUGUUAAACAUGCUAUGGUGCACCCGGCGCAUGAGGUAGUUAGGAUAGAUAGAUAGAGAUAGAUUAUUUUCCUUUCUCUCCAAGUUCUAUCUCUUCCUUGAAUAUCUCCCUCUCUUAUGUAAUCUUAAUAAUGUAUGCGUUAUGGUUGGGAGGUGUGCCCCAACUCUAUAUAACACGAACCCGUUGGCCUCAACAGGCUAAGACGUUUCCAGCUAUCGCACAUGGUAGUCAGAGCCAUCCUUUUCCCAUCUAAGCUCCAUACGAACUCCAUCUAGCCCUAGCCAUGUCUUCCUCCUCCGGCGCCUCCCAAACCAGCCUCAAUGGCCAGGUGACCGAGAAGCUCACGCGCACAAACUAUGUGCUAUGGCGCACGCAAGUCAUUCCCCAGCUGCGUGGCGCCGGUGUCUUCGGCUAUGUCGACGGCACUCAGCCGGAGCCGGCGAGACUCCUCGUCACCACCAAGGACGGCAAGGAGACUUCAUUGCCCAACCCUCUCCACCCAAUCUGGGUCAGGGAGGAUCAGCAGGUUCUUGGAUACCCGCUGAACAAUCUGACGCGCGAGGUGCUGCUCACGGUGACCACGGUCACCACCGCGGGCGCGCUCUGGACGACGCUCGCCGGCAUGUUCUCCUUGCAGUCUGCCAGCCGCAUCAACAACGUCUGAACCUUCCUCAUCAACGCGCAGAAGGGCAACCUCUCCGUCGCCUCCUACUUCACUGCCAUGCGCGGCUAUGCCGAUGAGCUCGCCGCCGCGGGCAAAGCGAUCCCCGACGACGAACUCGCCUCCUACAUCAUCCACGGGCUCGACGCCGACUAUUAGCCCCUUGUCUCUGCCCUUGACACUCGUGUCACCGAGGUAACCCUUGAUGAGCUCUUUGCCAUGCUAUCCAACUUGGAUCAGCGCAUGGCUCACUUCCAAGGAUCUGGCGGCGGCGGCUUCAAAUCUUCUGCCAACGUGGCCACUCGUGGGUGGGGCAGCAGCUCCCGAUCGCGUGGCUCAUCUCGCAACAAGGGCAGGUCUGGCGGCGGCAACCGUAGAGCCACACCACACCAAUUUGGUGGCCGUGGUCGCCGUGGACGCAGCACUGGUGGCGGUGGCAGAAACCACCCGGACGCUCCCCGGUGCCAGAUCUGCGGCAAGCCCGGGCACACAGCAAAGGACUGCUGGUAUAGGUAUGAGGAGGACGACUACGACUCGCAAGAUGAGGAGAAAGUCGCUGCGGCGGCCGAUGGCUCCUAUGGCAUCGACACGAAUUGGUACGCCGACAGCGGAGCCACCAACCACAUCACCAACGAGCUCGAGAAAGUUACCAUGAAGGAGAAAUACCGCGGCAAGGAUCAAAUCCACACUGCCAGCGGAGAAGGUAUGAGUAUACGUCACUUUGGUCACUCAAUAUUUCGUACCCCUAAUCGCAACAUUCAUCUUAGAUUUUUUUUGCAUGUUCCUAGUGCCAACAAAAGUCUUCUUUCUGUCCAUAGAAUUGCCCUUGACAAUCAUGUCUUUCUCGAAUUUCACCCUUACUUCUUUUUGAUCAAGGAUCAGGCAACGAGGACAAUUCUCUAUCGAGGUAGAUGCGUUGGCGGCCUCUAUCCGUUGAUUCCAGAGUUUCGAAGACAAAAUAAACACGCUUGUGGUGCCAUCAAGCUUUCAUCCACACGUUGGCAUGAUCAUUUAGGACAUGUUUCUUUUUCUUUAGUUGAAAGGUUGCUUAGGAAAAAUAAGCUCCCGUUUGUUGGUGAGCGUCAUAAUGAAACAAUUUUUGAUUCAUGUCAGAGAGCUAAAAGUCAUCAGUUGCCUUACCCAAUUUCUACCAGUAUUUCUACCAAACCAUUACAGUUGAUUUUUUCUGAUGUUUGGGGUCCUGCUCCCACUUCUGUUGGUAGACACAACUAUUAUGUCAGCUUUAUCGAUGACUAUUAAAUUCUCGUGGAUAUAUCUCUUAAAGAAACGAUCUAAUGUGUUUCAAGUUUUCAAAAACUUUCAAGCUCUAGUUGAACGAAAGUUUGACAGCAAAAUCAUUGUUGUCCAAUCCGACUGGGGAGGGGAGUACGAAAAGUUGAACUCCUUCUUCCAGACACUUGGUAUUUCACACCACUUGUCAUGCCCUCAUACUCACCAGCAAAAUGGGUCAGCUGAACGAAAGCAUCGGCACAUUGUUGAAGUUGGCCUUGCUUCUUGGCAGGCGCCUCCAUGCCUCUUAAAUUUUGGGAUGAAGCGUUUCUCACUGCCGUUCAUAUCAUAAACUUGCUACCUAGUCGUGUCAUUAAUCAUGAAACUCCGGUAGAAAGGCUUCUUCACACCAAACCAGACUAUACGUCUCUUUGUGUCUUUGGGUGUGCCUGUUGGCCAAACCUACGUCCCUACAAUAAUCGAAAACUCAUGUUCCGAUCAAAACAAUGCGUGUUCCUUGGCUAUAGUGCUCAGCAUAAGGGGGUCAAGUGCCUGGAUGUCUCCACGGGACGUGUUCACAUAUCCCGUGAUGUAGUCUUUGAUGAAACUAAAUUUCCUUUCACUGAUCUUCACCCUAAUGCCGGCGCACUUCUUCGAGAAGAAAUUCUUCUCUUGCCACCUCAUCUCACUAGCUUUGAUCAAGGGGGACAAAAUGUUGAUGAUCAUUUGUUGACUAACUCAUCUAAUGGCAUGCAUGAGUCUUGUGUCGAUGAAACAAGAUAAAACCGCGAAGAAAACGGUGCAAAAUUUGGGCUAUAUCCCAUGUGUCCCGUGGCAGGAGACAGAUCCGCCUCGGGAUCGGUAGCGACGCAGAUGAUCGGAUCCGCCUCGGGAUCGCUAACGGCGCAGGAGAUUGGAUCGUCCUCGGGAUCAGCCACCGCAGAGGGGACAGGCGCAGGCGCACGCGCCUCUGCGCCGGACUCACGCCGCGAUGUCUCCGCGCCUGACACGCGGGCUCCUCCGAGUGGCGCGCGGUACGGUGCCCAACCAGUCACGUACAAGCGGCGGGACGCGGCACGCGCCAGGGAGGACGCGGACCCAGUGGGUCCCCCCACGAGCGGUCGGCCGACCGGUGCGCACGCAGAGGCGCGGGGCUCGGGAUUCUCUGCGCCAACCGUAGACGCGGUGCUUCAGCCAUUGGCCACAGAAGAUCCGGUCAACCCUGCGGGCGUCGAAACUGCUGCCGCGACAGGAUCCUCCUCGGGAUCAGUUGCAGCUGCAGCUGAUGAUCCUGUGCAGCUUCCUGGAUCCUCUGCGGCCACAGAUUCUGCUGCUCCACCAUCGCGACGUACACGGCUGCAACAAGGGGUAACUCAACCCGUAAAUUACAAACAUAUAACUAAAUAUGGUUUGGUCUGUUCCACAGGAGAACCAGAUGAGCCCAAAAUCCUUGAUGCAGCACUUUGUGAUGAUAAGUGGAAGGAGGCAAUGAAUGAGGAGUACAUGGCACUAAAGAAAAACAAAACAUGGCACCUGGUUCCCCCACAGCAAGGUAAAAAUUUAAUUGAUUGCAAGUGGGUUUUCAAAAUUAAGAGGAGAUCUGAUGGAACCAUUGAUCGCUAUAAGGCUAGGCUCGUUGCAAAAGGCUUCAAACAGCGAUAUGGCAUAGACUAUGAGGAUACUUUUAGUCCCGUGGUAAAAGCUGCCACUAUUCGCCUUGUCUUGUCUAUUGUUGUUUCCAGAGGUUGGAGUCUCAGGCAGCUUGAUGUACAGAACGCGUUUCUUCAUGGUGUUCUGGAAGAUGAUGUGUACAUGAAACAACCUCCUGGGUUUGAAAGUAAGAAUGCUCCCUCUUAUGUGUGCAAGCUUGAUAAAGCUCUAUAUGGAUUAAAACAAGCUCCAAGGGCGUGGUACUCUCGUCUCUGUUACAAGAUGCAAAAACUUGGAUUUGUUCCUUCUAGAUCAGACACAUCAUUAUUUAUUUAUAACAGAUCCAAUACAUGCAUAUUUGUUCUCAUCUAUGUUGAUGAUAUUAUUGUGACCAGCUCAUCCGAUGAAGCAAUCAGAGGUCUCUUAAAAGACUUGAGUGCAGAGUUUGCGUUAAAGGAUCUUGGAGACUUGCACUUCUUUCUUGGGAUUGACGUAAAGAAGCAUCAGAAUGGACUUCAUCUCUCUCAAGCAAAAUAUGCAACUGAUCUGAUUAAAAAGGCAGGAUUGCAAGGUUGCACACCCUCACUCACUCCAUUAUCCAGCUCAGAAAAAUUGUCUCUUGCAAAAGGUAAAUCUUUGAGUCAGGAAGAUAGCACAAAAUAUAGAAGCCUCGUAGGAGCUCUUCAGUAUCUAACUCUUACCAGGCCCGAUCUAUCUUUUGCUGUCAACAAAGUCUGCCAGUUUUUGCAUGCACCUACUGAUGUUCACUUGACAGCUGCCAAGCAUAUAGUCAGAUAUGUUAAACAUACUCUCAACAUAGGUCUAAAUUUCAGCAAGUCAUCUUCUACCCUUGUCGGUGCCUUUUCUGAUUCUGACUGGGCAGGAUGCCUGGAUGACAGGCGCUCAACAGGUGGUUUUGCAGUCUUUUUUGGGCCUAACUUAAUAUCAUGGUGUGCACGCAAACAUGCUACUGUAUCUAGGUCAAGCACUGAGGCAGAGUACAAAGCAUUAGCAAAUGCUACAGCUGAAAUCAUAUGGGUUCAGUUUAUGUUGAAAGAGCUUGGGGUGAAGAGUAAACAAGCUCCAUGCCUGUGGUGUGACAGCCUCGGUGCUACUUAUCUUUCUGCUAAUCCUGUGUUCCAUGCCAGAACAAAGCACAUAGAGAUAGACUUUCAUUUUGUCAGAGAGAGAGAGAGUUGCUCAAAAGCAACUUGACAUUCGGUUUGUGCAUUCAAAGGAUCAGAUUGCAGAUGGAUUUACAAAGCCUUUGCCCACAAGGAGUUUUGAAGAAUUCAAGUAUAAUCUCAACUUAAUGAAGCUGGGAUUAAGGGAGGGUGUUAAACAUGCUAUGGUGCACCCGGCGCAUGAGGUAGUUAGGAUAGAUAGAUAGAUAGAGAUAGAUUAUUUCGUAACAUCCAUCCAAUUUCACUGCAAAAAGGUGCAUCCAUCCUAUUAGCUGGGAGUCCAUACAAAGUCUUGUGUGCAUCACAAAUUUGAGCUAUAGAUACCAAUAUACCAUCAUUACAAAUCAAUACCUACAAAUUUCGUAACAUAAUCAAUUACUUUCCCAUUAACAAGUCGCUUGAUAUUUUUUUGCUGUUAAGUUUGUCCGUCGACCUUCUGUAUUGUUGUCACACUUGAGACUCUUCUGAUUCGAACAAUGUUCCAGAGUACAUAUGCAUGUACUCUUUUACUUUGUUUUUUUAUUCUGAUGGAUUUAACUACUUUGAUCUCUCCUUAAAUGCUAACUGGGGUGAAAGCUGAUUACAUGUUUUUUUUUCGUGGAAAAGUUGAUUAUAUGUUAUUUGGGAUAUUUUCAUCUUACAUAAAAGUUCUUCUUUCUCUAAUUUUCUAACUUUUACCUAAACACAGCUAGUUUCUUCGUUCUCUAAUCUUCUAACCUUUACCUAAAUGCAGCUAGCUACAACUUUGGUUUCAAGAAUACCUACUCGAAGCAACAUUGCUUGAUUCCUCUUCAGGAUCUACUUAAAUCAUCUGCUUUCCUAGUUGAUGAUAGCUGUGUUUUUGGUGUGGAGAUACUAAAAAUUGAUGUCUCUUCUCCUGAAAAGAAGGCUGUUGUGGUUCAUAAGAAGGCUACCACAGUUCAGAAUAUCUUUGUCCAGAAGAAGGGGUUCAUUAAAGGGACAUACACUUGGACCAUGGACAAUUUUCUUGAAUUGGACUUGAAGCACUUCGUCAGUUCUCCUACAUUUGAAGUUGGCGGACAUAAAUGGUAUACAUCUGGGUAGUUACAUCACAAAUGAUUUAUAUAAAUAGUAUGCAUGUGUUGUCCAAUAUUUUAGCUUAUAUGUAUCCUUCAGCUUACCAGUCCUUCAUAUGUUCCAACUGGAUAUUUUAGCUUGAUCUCUAAGCAUGCAACCAAGAUAUUUACAGAUAUGGUAGCAAAUUCCAAUUUCAAUACAAACAGGGUUUUGCAAGGUGUACGGAAAAUUCAGUGACAAAUUAGAAACAAUGUAGUACUAAACUCUAUGCUGGCGUGUAAAAUUUCAUGGUCAUACGUUUAGGAGGAAAAAUAUCCAGAAAUUUGAUUAUCAUGUAUAUAUUUGGUACAACUGGUCCUUGUAUGUAUCACACACCAUCAAUUAUUUUCUCAGGUUUUUUGGUGUAACAUUGUAAUAUCUUGUGCUGCAGUCAUGCUUUGCUUAGAUUUUUUGUACAGUUCUAAUGCCACCAAGCUGUGUCCAAAGUUUCUGAUUUCAGUAACCAACCACAUUCUUGAAAUACAUUUUCCCGUGCACCCAAUUAUCUUUGAAGUGUCACCUCCUAUUCUUGUCAACAGGUACGUCGGCAUGUAUCCACGUGGUAACAAGCACAGCACUGAUUGCCUCAGCUUGUACUUAUACCUGGAUGCCUCGGAUGAGCUCCAUCUCGAAUCCAAGAAGGUGGUUCUAAUGACUCUCUCCAUCCUGGAUCAAAAGAAUGGGAAACACUUGACUGUAACUUCAGGUUCAGCUCUCCUUAGCAAGUAUCAGUGCUACUGAUAUGUGUGAUUCAAGCAGCUAGUGUCCGUAACCUCACGAUGAUUACAGUUGAUCUUACUUUUGUCUUGAUCACAGGUCUCUUGGUGUUUACGGGUACACACAGAUGGGGGUGGCCUGAUUUCCUUGGACUCGAGAAACUCAAGGACCCGUCGGGAGGCUAUGUUGUGGGAUCGAGCUGUGUUGUGAAGGCAGAUCUUACCAUCGUUGGUUCAUCCAAUGAUGGCUAGAUCUUUACCUCAUGGCCUGAAGAAGAGAUAAUGCGCCUUCAUCGUAGCAGUUAUAUACUAGCGAUGGUGUUGUGAACUUGUUUGAUGUUCUUAUGUUCACAAGGAGUCCAGUAAUGAUUUCUAGGUACAUUGUCUGUGAUAUUAUAUUAUUUGGAAGCACUUCAAUAGACAAGUUCCGUUUGUAUGCUGCGUGUGGUUCUAUGAUCCCAUUUUCAUGGCCGCGGGCAUUCAAACAUCGCCCACAAGAGGUUAAACGCGAUUUCAUUCUACUAGUUUAUGUGUGACUUGUUACAUUACUACUCAUCAACUGAACAUCACCAGGGUAUCAAGAAUCCUGCCAUCGAGUGACCCCGAUGGUUCUUUUGCACAGGUGUUCUCCCUUAUGCUGCAUUUCAGGUUGAGUUGUCGACUUCUAAUCUGAGUUUUGCAUGAAUUCGUUUAGCAUGUUCCCGCAGGGGACUCCAAUUGCAUAAAGACCCUGUUUCUGCGCAGCUUGGAGCUAGGUUACGGUGACUGUAGUACUUAGUUGCCAAUAUACGUGCAACUUUUCUCUGCACACACACCUAUCAUGUUUUAUAAGCCUAUUACUUUAUAAGCCCUCAGCUAAUUUCCGAAACUUGGAUUCGCAAUUAGAAAUUUCUUUCUAAAUUCCAUCAUUAUAUCUAGAACAUUUGGAACAAGGCAACAUUGGACAUUUAAUCUGAUUGCGUGCCUAUACACCUGCGUUUUCUUCUCGAGAAAUCUGGUAUCCCCAGUUCAUAAAUAAGUGAUAUUUUGGACAUAUAUUCGCUCAAACUUCGAAACUUUGACCACUAAUAUCAUUUUAAAUACCAAUAUUGUUCAUGCUCCUUUUUAGUGAAAUUAGCAAAGUUCAUGCCUAGUUCGUUAACAAAUAUGAAUAUACUACCUCUGUAACAUAAUAUAACUAGUGUAAAAAAAUGUCUUAUAUUAUGGCACACACGCACGCACGCACGCACGCACGCACGCACGCACGCACAGACACACACACACACAGACACACACACACUCACUCUUUUGAGGUAGUAUGUAGUACUAUAUUUUAGCAUAAUCCUUUUUGUGUACAAACAGAAAGGCAUUUCAAAAAAAUACUAAAAAUAUGGGCUCAAUUCCAACGUUUCACGUGGUUCACUUUAUAAUAGCUUAGAAAUGCUCCCUCCGUUUCUUUUUUACUUCACAUAUUAGAUUUGUCUUAAGUCAGGGUUUCUAAAAUUUGAUUUUUUAAUAGAAAAUAUGAAUUUUCAUCAUACCCAAUCAACAUCAUUAGAUUCAUCAUGGAAUAUAUUCUCAUAUUGUAUUUAUUUGUUACUAGCAAACGGGCCCAUGCGUUGCAACGUGAGAAAAAAAAUCAUAAUCUCCAAUGCCAAUCAUCACAUUUUGCUGCAUCACCAAGAUACACUAUCACUCAUAAUUUUGUAAAAUCAUGAACAAUUUUUAAACUCAUGAACAUAUUUGAAAUCGUGAACAUUUUUCAAAUUCAUGAGCACUUUUACAAAUUUUGAAACAUCUUCUAAAAUAUAGAACAUGUUUGAAUUCAUGAACAUUUAUACUAUUGGCAAACAUUGAGAUACACUAUCACUCUCAUUUUGUGAAAUCGUGAACAAUUUUUGAAAAUCAUGAACAUUUUUUAAAAACUCGUGAACAUAUCUGAAAUCGUGAACUUUUUUCAAAUUCGUGAACAUUUUUACAGAUUUUCGAACAUUAUCUAAAAUUAUGAAAAAAUUGAAUUCAUAAACAUUUUAUACUAUUUGCAAACUUUUUUCAAAACUGUGUACAUUUUUUAUUUUUGUUCUUGAAUAGGUGAGCAUAUCAAGAAUCGACAAAAAAUUUGCUUUUUGGAAAUUGGUGGAACAAUUUUUAAAAUUCACUAAUAUUUUUUUAUUUAACGAACAUUUUUUGAAAUGCAGGAUCAUUUUCUGAAUCCACGAAUAUUUUAUGAAUCAAUAAACUAUUUUGUAAGUCAAGACCAGUUUUUUAAAAUUUUAGGAUAUUUUCAAUUCAUAUUUUUGAAUUGACGAAAUUUUGUUCAAUUUCAUUAAUAAUUUUUAAUACAUGAACUUUUUUAAAAUAUCAUGUUUUUUCGGUUUCCGAACAUUUUUUUCAAAAUUGUGAACAUAUUUUGAAUAUGGAAUAUUUUUUAAAACUCGCAAAAGUUUUCUAAAUCCACAAACAUUUAUGAAUUAUUAAAUAUUUAUUUCAAAAUUCACUUUUUUAAAAAAAAAUCAGAACUGUUUUGGAGUCCCAACUUAUUUAAAGUGGAAAAAACGAAUACGAAAAAGGAAAACGCAAAAUAGUAAAUAAAAUUUAAAAACGCCUCCCAGACAUGGGCCGGCUCAAACAGGCGCGUUGUGUCUUCUCCCAGCGCGCAGAGUGCAAUAUAGAAGGUUCCUACUAUAAAGGGCGGCCCAGGCAGAGAUUCCCCUAUGUGAAACGUUUCUUUUUGACAGAAAGACUGUAAGGGAACCCCCUACAGUAUAAUUGGUGCAACAAAUCCAAAUUGCAAGUACCAUGUCUUGAACCUGGGUGGGUAUGAAGGCAUCAGCCCCUUCCCACCACUAGACCAUGCCUUAGUCUGCAUGUGAAACGUUUUUUUAUCACUUAUAGGUGGCAUCGAUGGGUAAUAUUUUGCAAGUUUGGUGCAAUUUCGAUGACGUACCGCCAGAAGCAAUUGCCCCUUUAUUAUUAUUAGGUAUAGAUAUAGAUAGAUUGUAGAUGUUGAUACUUUUUAAAUAUAAAUUUGGUCAAACUUUACAAAGUUUGAUUUAAGACAAACCUAACACGCGAAGAAAAAAAGAAAUAGGGAGUAGUAUAUGAACAUACUCAAAAUGAUAAAAGUAAUAUUUAUACUACCCAAUGAUGGUAGUAUAUGAGCAGAUCUCAUUAUCGUUGGUUCAUCUAAUGAUGUCUUUACCUCAUGGCCUAAAGGAGCAAUAAUGCCCUAGUAACUAGACUUAUACUAGCUUAACCCAUGCGGUGGCACGCCGCGCCAAUCUGUACGUCGUGAUAGAAUCAUGACACAAAACAUAACUAAAAUGUUGAAAUCUUAGUGGAUAAAAUAAUUCAUUGUCAUGGCUCCUCACAUUGCAAGUUCACCAUGAUACGGAAUCAUUCCAGUUCCACUAACCUACAUCAAACAUAUAGUUUAUCGGACGCCAAAUCAUAAACUACACAUAUGGAUUCUUACUUUUCUUCGACCAAACUCUUAUUUCUUUUCUGGUCUUUUUUAGAAUUUUCCAGCCUAAAACUGAUUAAUGGUAUUGACGUAUGUAAUUGGUUAGGAUCUGGCGGGGUACGUGAUCGGUGUGUAAAUAGUUGUUUGCUUUUUGAUUCGAUUGUGUUCUGUCGGGCGGUGGCAGGGAAUUAGUUUCUGGAUUUUUCUUAGAUACACGUAUGCAGUGGUUGGAGGAGAUCAUGUGUGAUGUGAUCAUGUGCAUGAAACAACUGUUCCCCGGUUUUUCUCGAGGAUUAGUUGGUGUAGGUGGUUUUAGAUUAUUUUUUCGUGUACGGUGCUAGUGCUUGCCCCUUGAUGUAAGAGGUUGUAUUUUUUUCCUGUUUGGAUUGAUUUUCUUGAUGGCACUUAAUUUGGUUUUAACGUCCGACGUGCUGUGAUUGCGUGGGUAGGUACACUGCCUAUGGUUCUCGACGACGCUGCUUAACGUGUUUAUGUGACAUACCCAGAAAAUCCACGGAAGCCAGGGGCGAAACCUGCAUAGUGCUCACACAUCAACUCUUGCGUGUAGCCCUUUUGGUACCAGCAAAGCUCUAGCGUGCGUGCGUGUCAUGUGUACCUGGCUAAAUUGAUCGGUGAGACAUUGUCUAGCCUAUGUACGCGUAUGUUUGUUUCCAGCAAAAGAAGAAUUAGUCGUAAAAGCAAAAAACUUAACGCACAAAUGGAAAUAAAUCUGAAAUUCAAUUAACACAGAAAUGCAAAAUACUCCCUCCGUUCCUAAAUACUUGUCUUUCUAGGCAUUUCAACAAGUGACUACAUACGAAGCAAAAUGAGUGAAUCUACACUCUAAAACAUAUCUACAUACAUCCGUAUGUAAUAGUCAUUUAAAAUGUCUAGAAAGACAAAUAUUUAGGAACGGAGGGAGUACUUCUGAAAUUUAGAAAAAGUUGGACCCUUUUAUGCCCACUGUCUCAUUGCCUUUGCUGCACGUCCCCUUUCUGUCCACUACUCCACUUAGCUACCCGCUAGCACUGGCUGGGUUAGGAACUCAAGCACCUAACUUUAGGGCCUGUUUGGUUCCAAUAAGUCAUCUGACUUAUAAGUCAGGUGACUUAAAACCAGUGACUUAUAAGUCACGUCUGUUUGAUUGUCACCUGACUUAUAAGUCAUCUGACCACACCUUUCCACCUUGUUUUUUAAUGUAAAGGUGAUGGGACCCACACAAAAGGAGCUGACUUAUAAGUUUUAAGUUGGGGUGGAGCAACUUAUGACUUAUAAGUUGGGGUGACUUAUAAGUUGGGCGGAACUACUAUGCAGCCGAUGCAUGCCAGCCGAACACUGCACGAUCCUUGAUCUAGCGGUCGGCGUGCACUUUGUUCAACGCUGGUACGGUUGGAUCAGUACUAUCGUCCACAAAUCGUCCAAGGCAUGUCGUGUGUAUAGCAACACUCUAAGUUGGGUCCGUUCGGCAAAAAAAGUCAUUUUUUUUACUUUUUGACUUAUAAGUUGGUGACUUAUUUGGAAUCAAACAGGGCCUUAGGCAGCACGGAUGCCAACGACGGACUACGAACAUGGCCGACGGGCGGACUGGCCAUGCGGCCGGAGGCAGACUCGGCACACGAGUACUGUUCGGCACACGGCGGACAGACUGCUACACGGCCGGUGAGUGACUGCGCACACGGCCGACGGGUGGACUAGACACAGUGUACGGGGUCCUCUGCCGGUGCAUCCCAUGUGAUCACAUGUCUGGCAGGCAUACGACGUCACCAAAACCCCGAUCCGCUGUCACACCACGGCGAGGAGCUCUGUGUAGGCGAGCAAGACUGAUCCUUGUGGUCGUCCUCUCCGUGUCGUUCUCCCUUCUCACAUCAGCGUCAUCGCACCUGAUCUGCCGCAGCAACGACAGAAUACAAAUUGCCGAUCGAUCGAUCAGUCAAUUCGCGGUCCAUGAGUCGGCCGACUUGGAACGGGCAUACCUAGCGUCGAGUGGAGGAGCUGCGCCCCGCUUGCUUCUAGCGGUGGUGGUGGUGCACCGCCUUCUUGGAGAUGCCGCCGUUGGGCUUGCUUGCCAGCCCAUGGGUAUGGGCCUUCUGCUGCCGGAAGGACUUGACGUAAAUGCUCAUCGUGUCUCUUUCUUCAGCGAAGAGGAUGGAGCUGUCGUGAGCUCGCCAUCUUGCAGUUCAAGAAGGGGCUGAGCGCCUCAUCGCGUCGCUGCCGGCGGUAGCCUACCCGAGGCGACAGUACUCCAUAGUUCCGCAUGGUGACGACGCGGGUCGGACAUGACAAAGUCCCAGCGGCCUGGGCAUGCGCAACAAUAAUUCCCAUGGAGACGACACAUGAUAGAGACGAUGGGUCACCGGCUGCUUGGGACGGCAUGAGGAAGAUGCUGCAAGCGCUAGGUCGAGUUGCCGAGCCGACAGCGUAGCCGCACACGCAUCCUCCGCUCCAUCGGCUCCACCUUCGUCUCCUCAUCUACUCCACACCCUUGUUGACGCCGUUAGCGGCUGGGUUGAUCUGUCGAUACCACUGGACUCGCGCCCGAGCACCUCGGUGCACAUCUCCAUGUUCCCUUUCACACCGUGCUGGUACACUAGAUUAUUCCUGGUAUCGAGCCGUAGAACGGCGGACAUAGAAGCUACUCCCUCCGUUUCAAAAUAGAUGACCCAACUUUGUGCUAAAAGUUAGCACAAAGUUGGGUCAUCUAUUUUGGAACGGAGGGAGUAGGUGCCAGCGAUAGGGAGUCACGCCAGCGAGUCGAGCUCUCUUGGAUACAAAUCAUGUAGACGGGGAGGAGCAGGAGCAGGUUGGCGGCACUCAGCGGCUUGCAGCUCUGCGGCUGCCUGGCGAUGCAUGCCGACGUGUGAAGCGAGGCUUCGAGCAUGCCACGAGCCGGGGCCCUACAUGGGCGUAACCUUCUCGAUCGUGGCCUUUGUGUGCGCUCCCUUUUACGUCGUAUCUGAUGGCUUUGUGGAGAAGAGAUGUGGGAAGAGGAUGUACACAGCGCGUGAGGUCUUUUAUACGACCAUGGGGCGGUGGAUCGGUGGCAACUCGAGCCUUUGAGAGAGAAGAAGCUAAUCGAGGACGAGAUAGGAUCGACGAAAUAUCUCGAAACCUGCGUCCACAUGCAACAGCCGGACAGAUACACAUGUACAGAGAAGAAAAUAUCAAGCAGCACGCCACCGAAAUCAAACAAACAAAAGCAGGUAGUCUUUUUCUUUAGAAGACAAAAGUACGUAGUCAAAUUAAACAUGGCACCGCACAUGCAGCCAGCGGCCCACAAUUCUAAUUAUCUCAGCGCCCACGCAUGCACACAACUGCACGUGAUCAGGUCAACGCGACGGGACGGUCCACACGUAGCAUAAAUCGCUAACCGGGCCGACGAAAUCCGCAAGCACGUUAAGACUAGCCACAGUGGAAGUAACUUCAACAGUAACAUCGAGUCCAACUCAGCAAAUUUGCUUAUGUGGCAAUGAGUUAAUGAAGAGAGAGGUAGUUGUAGUAAGUUAGCUAGUUACUGUAACAUCACAUGUUCCAAUGCAAUAUGAGUCUAUAACCUAAUAAAUGAAUCUGGCUAGUCUAAUAAAAUUUUGAUGGAAGGCCUACAGUCACAACCGAUUUCUACCUCCCAGCCUCCCAAAACAAUACACGCGUCACCAUUCGCUAGGCCUGAAAGUCACGGUCAAACAAGUGGUAGGACGUCAGUGCCUAAACUUUUUGGGAUAUAGUGACUUGGGUAUAUGAGAAAAUGUUGUGGUAGUAGUACUAAAAGCUUGUGAGACGACUAGUAAUAAUGUGCUAGAUUUGNNNNNNNNNNNNNNNNNNNNNNNNNNNNNNNNNNNNNNNNNNNNNNNNNNNNNNNNNNNNNNNNNNNNNNNNNNNNNNNNNNNNNNNNNNNNNNNNNNNNNNNNNNNNNNNNNNNNNNNNNNNNNNNNNNNNNNNNNNNNNNNNNNNNNNNNNNNNNNNNNNNNNNNNNNNNNNNNNNNNNNNNNNNNNNNNNNNNNNNNNNNNNNNNNNNNNNNNNNNNNNNNNNNNNNNNNNNNNNNNNNNNNNNNNNNNNNNNNNNNNNNNNNNNNNNNNNNNNNNNNNNNNNNNNNNNNNNNNNNNNNNNNNNNNNNNNNNNNNNNNNNNNNNNNNNNNNNNNNNNNNNNNNNNNNNNNNNNNNNNNNNNNNNNNNNNNNNNNNNNNNNNNNNNNNNNNNNNNNNNNNNNNNNNNNNNNNNNNNNNNNNNNNGUGGACAUCCUCAUCCAGAACAUCGCAUGCUGUGUGAUCAAUGGUCAAUCAUCUACUAUUCUAGUGUCAUAUCCCUUUACAAGGCAAUUUGGGUACUCUACCCUAUAGUUGGGUUGCAGCACCUUGCUCCCCAACUAGCUGAAACGUCGUUUGGUGAUUGGUGGGAAUAAGCAUGGCAAACAACUCUUGGCCAGCUAAGGAAGGGAUUCAAUUCACUGGUUGCGUUAGGUGCUUGGAUUCUUUGGACUCACCACAAUGCAUGUGUUUGAUGGACUGGUUCCAAGCAUGGCAAGAGCGCCGAACACCGCCGACGAUGAGUGACGUCUUUGGGAGAUUGCUGGCGCAUGGGGCUUUUCUUCCUUGACUGCCCUGACCCUUGGGGCUUAGUUGUUUGGUCGUAGUCCUGUUUGGUCAUUUUUUAAUGAUAAACAUGCAUGAAUGUAAUCUAAUAACCAUAGUAUGGCGUGCGUAGCGUGUUAUAGUGGGUGCUGUAUGGGUUCUUGUCCCAUUUCUUCUUCUUCUUCUUCUUCAUAUAAUGAUACACAGACCUCCUGCGUGUUUGAGAAAAAAAUGGUAUAUAUAUAUAUAUUGGAUAGAAAUACGUUAUUGGAAGUACUUCCAUAUGCAUGGGUGGCACACCUAUGUCCUCAGCUUGUCUCGCUACAUGGAUGUUCGAUUUAGCUGAUCCAUGUUGUCUCUCCUCUUAGUUUUCAUGGCUCAAGUUCUCAGUUGAUGAAUCAUUGUUCCAUCUAAAACAUUUCACCUCUAUUUAUCUUAAGAUGGGAAGUGGUUGCUUCAUUUGCCAUUCGCUCAUUCUCCGUUUUGACCCCAUGGACCAUGUGCCUCAUGUACAAUUGCAGCAUGACCUCUAGAGUCUCAAGCCAUAAGAGACGAGACGACCGAGGGCAUUUCUAAUUGAACCCUAUUGUUGUCGAGGGGGCACACCUGAUCGUUGAUGUCUGUGUGGUGGCAAUCACUUUAUACUUGGACGAGUCCUCCAUCUUUAGGUUAGUUACCCAGUAACAUGGGUCUGGGCCACUUGGGCCAAUAGGACAUGGGCCACACAUACAACACUCCUCCUCAAGAAGGGUGAUAUAUAUUUAUCAUUCCUAUCUUGUCACACGCCAGACUUCAUUCUUUAGUUUCUAAUCCUUGAGUCAAGCAGUCCGCAAUCUUUUGUUAAUUUUUUUGCGAGUGACUCUACCUUUUGAUAACCCGGUAAGGAUUUGGUCAACAUCCACAUGCCCAGCUACUCGAGGCAUGAUAGAAGUUAAGGUUUCAUGAGGUUUCAUUUCAUUUCCAUCAUCCACAUCCUCGACAUAUGGGCCCGAGAUGUGAGGUGGCAUGACAUCAUCUUCACGCUGAACUUGUUGAGGUUCAUUGUCUUCUUCUUCAUUUUCUUAUUCAUAUGUUUGUGGAGGGUCUUGUUUUUGUUCUUGGAUAACAAGCUCGUCUUGAGCAAUGGGAUCUUGUGGUGGUGUAAUUGCUUGAACAUGGAUGUAGCUUGUUUCUUCUUCAUCAUCUUGAUGAGGCCCUUGUUCCGUAGAAAGAAUAGCACCAACACCCAUGGACAAAAUAUUUUGAGAAGGAUCUUCAUCAGCUACAUCACUUAGAUCAACUUGCUCCCCAUGGGAGCCGUUAAAUUCAUCAAACACCAUGUCACAAGUUUCUAAAACAUAUCCGGUGGAUUUGUUGCGGACCCUGUAGACGUGAGAGUUUGACCCAUAAUCAACUAAUAUACCCUCAAUUAUUCUGGAUCAAAAUUUCCUAACCAAUCUUGUUGAGAAAGAAACACUUACUACCGAAUACAGAGAAGUACUUGACAUUUGGCUUGUUCCCGGUUAGGAGUUCGUAUGGAGUCUUCCCAAAGAUUUUGCGAAGAUAGAGCUGGUUUGAUGCAUGACAUGCAGUGUUGACGGUUUCAGCCCAAAAGCUAUGUGGUGACUUGUACUGAUCCAACAUGGACCUUGCCAUCUCCACAAGUCUCUGGUUCUUCCUCUCUCCCUUGGAAGCCAUUCUUUCUUCUAUCCCUUGCCCUUAAACAUUGGCCUUUUUCAUGGGAACCCAUUCUUUCUUAUGUCCCUUUCCCUUAAACUAACAGGUAAGAGCUGCAAGUUCUGCACCACCCACUCCAUCGGCCUUACAUUUAUUCUUAUUGCCAUUGUUGUUAUUGCUGCAGUUCUGGCCCGACUAAUUGUUGUCGCCAGUGGCUCAACCUUUGCCACUUCUCAAUCAGUCGUCCUCUUCGCCAUUUGCGUAGAGGUUUGUGAUCUCCAUCAUUUGACUCAAGGAAUAAACGUCCGAGCAACCGAAUUUGAGGAUUAAUUUCCUGUAUCUAACGCCUUACUUGAAGGAGCAUAUUGCUUGCUGCUUGGUUACGUUCUCCACCAAAUUAUGUAAGGUAGUCCAUCUAUGAAUGUACUCUCGGGGAGUCUCAUUUGAUUUUUGGACACAAUGCUACGGCUCAGCUAGAACGCCGGGCAAUCUAUAGGUUCCUUCAAAGUUUUUCACAAAGACACGAUGUAGAUCAUCCCAACUGUAGACCCUAUAACAUCAAGGCGAGGUGCUUCAUGAUGACAUCAUUGUUGCCUCCUCCAAUCUGUACCGCCACUCGGUAGUCAUCUAGCCUAUGUCUCUGGUUUAGAGUUACCACAUAAUUUGCUAAUCCCGGUGUCCAUCCUGAAGUUUGACGGGAUGACAACCAAACAGAUGUAAUGACUAAAACAAAUCAGGCCCGAAGAACUGGAUCCACUCAUAAAGUCUCUUCACAAUCAUCUCUCUCUAUGCGGCCCCAGUCCAGUCAGGACUAUACUAUGUGUGACCGAGCAUCGUAUGGAGGAUCAUUGUACCCACGUAGCACAUCAUCAUGUCCGCGAGGUUAUAAACCAUCUCGCUGAUGUAGAGGACUACGUCUUCAAUCAUCACCAAGAUGAUACUGAUCAUCAUAGCGCCGGGGCGAGUACAGAGGACAUCGAGGUGGACUCACUCGGUUGUGGUGUUGAUUGUCACGCUGAAGAGGGAUAUCUGGUCAACAAGGAGGAACCAUUCCCCUCAAAGGAGGAGAUACCCUUGGCAUGCACGAGCCAUGAGGGCUGUAAGCCGGCUAAGUGGUUUCUGCUCAGACCGAUUCAUUGUGGAUCCAAUUGUGUGAUUGAGUAACUGCAUAAUUUUGUGCCAUUACUGCAUGCCUUUAACAGAGAUUGUACAUGUCGAAUUCCUUCUGUAGCUGAUCCAGAGGGUUGGAGGGAAUCGGCUAUCUGAGUAUCCACAACAAAAUUUUGCACCGGAGUACACAUAACUUGAUAGUUUUGAGCGUUUGCAUUCGCCGCUUAAAGGGCCUACUCCUUCAACCUCAGUUGUUCCUAUUGAUAUAUCGAUUAUUAGGAAAGACGAGAUAGACUAGGAUUUGUAAAUCAAAUUCUUGUAGCAAGAGAACCCAUCUAAUAAGUCUAGGUUUAACAUCUUUCUUUUCCAUAAGAUAUUUAAUAGCAGUAUGAUCAGUGUGAACAGUUACUUUGGAAUCAACAAUAUAAGAUCUAAACUUAUCACAAACAAACACAACCGCUAAAAUUCUUUUUCAGUAGUAGCAUAAUUUCUUUGAGAACUGUCUAGAGUUUUACUAGCAUAAUGAAUAACAUAUAAUUUCUUAUCAACUCUUUGUCCUAGAACAACACCAACAGCAUAAUCACUAGCAUCACACAUAAUUUCAAAGGGUAGAUUCCGAUCAGUUGGUUGAACAAUAGGUGCAGAAAUUAAUGCUUUCUUAAGAAUUUCAAAUGCUUCUACACAAUCAUCAUCAAAAACAAAGGGAACAUCUUUUUGUAAGAGAUUAGUGAGAGGCCUAGAAAUUUUAGAGAAGUCUUUAAUAAAUCUCCUAUAGAAACCAGCAUGACCAAGGAAACUUCUUAUACCUUUGAUAUCUUUAGGACACGACAUUUUUUCAAUAGCAUCAACUUUAGCUUUAUCAACUUCAAUACCUCUUUCGGAGAUUUUAUGCCCCAAGAAAAUACCUUCAUUAACCAUAAAGCGACACUUCUCCCAAUUCAAGACAAGAUUAGUUUCUUCACAUCUCUGCAAAACUCGAUCAACCGUUUCUUCACAUCUCUGCAAAACUCGACCAAGGUUGCUUAAGCAAUCAUCAAAAGAAGUUCCGUAAACGGAGAAAUCAUCCAUGAAAACCUCAACAAUCUUUUCACAAAAGUCAGAGAAUAUAGCAGUCAUACAUCUUUGAAAGGUAGCAGGUGCAUUGCAUAAACCAAAAGGCAUACGUCUAUAAGCAAAGGUACCAAAAGGGCAUGUAAAAGUAGUUUUUUCUUGAUCCUCUUAUGACACAGGUAUUUGAGAAAAACUAGAAUAACCAUCUAGAAAGCAAAAGUGUGUAUGUUUUGAUAGUCUUUCUAGCAUUUGAUCAAUGAAAGGUAGAGGAUAACGAUAUUUCCUAGUAGAUUUAUUUAGUUUUCUAAAAUCAAUUACCAUUCUAUAACCUGUAACAAUUCUUUGUGGGAUCAAUUCAUUCUUAUCAUUGGGAACAACAGUAAUACCUCCCUUCUUAGGGACAUAAUGAAUAGGACUUACCCAUCUACUAUCAGCAAUAGGAUAAAUUAUACCUGCUUGCAGAAGCUUUAAUAUUUCAUUUCUCACCACUUCUUUCAUCUUAGGAUUUAACUGUCGCUGGUGACACUACAAAAAAAGACACAUCCGUGAGAUUUUGGGCCAAACGAAUUUUUUUCCUGUCAUCCUUAUGAAACUUCUAUGACGAUAAUUGUGACAAAACCCGGUAUCAUCAUAGAUGUGGUGGGCUCCUACUUCUAUGACAAAAAAUCAUGACAGAAAAUGGGCUUUUCGUCCUGGGUGGGCUGGAGACGCAGCUGCAUGACAUUCUUUGGGCCAUCCAUGAUGGAAAAAACAUGGUAGAAGCAAGGGCGAGGAAAAUAUCUAGAAGUUCCCAGUUACGGUGGGUGGUCGGGGCCGAGCGAUGAAUGGAGGUUUGCGCGUUUCUCUCGUACACGUACGUGCGUGUGUGCGAGGCAUUGCGCUCUAACUGAACCCGAGCGAUUGCACUAGCUACGUUACUGAACCCCGAUCGAUCCCUUGCUAUUAACUGAACCCGAGUGAUUCCUUCGCUACUGCUGCUAACUGAAGCUGAUCAAUGCUGCCUCUUGAUGAACAGUGAGCGUUGCUGGGGAGGGGGGUUGGAUGAACAGUCUCCGGUGGGGGGUGAAUGAAUAGGACCCCGUGGUAGUAGAGGUCAUUGCCGCUGGAUGAACAGGACCCCGAUCGAGCUGGUUGGGGGUGGAUGAACAGGACCUCGUGGAGGGCUGGAUGAACAGGACCCCAUGGAGGGCUGGAUGAACAGUAGCCGUGGAGGGGGGGUUGAACAGGACCCCGUGGAGAGGGCUGGUUGAACAGUAGCCAGUGGAGGAGCGGUGGAGACUGGAUGAACAGGAGCCCGUGGAUGAACAGUGGCUGGUGGAGGCAAGAGGGGAGACGCCGUGGAUGAACAGUCACAUGUGGAGGCUGGAGGAGAUCAAUGGUAGAUGAACAGUAGCCUGUGGAGGCAGUCGACGGUGGAGAUAAACAGUAUCCCGUGGAGUCCCAUUUUGUGGUACGCUACACCCUUCCCGAUGAACAGGACCCCCGUUUCGACCUUAGCACUCCAACACAAGUCCGUUUCCUCCUUUUGCGGUACGCCACACCCCUCCCGAUCAACAGGACCCCGUUUCGACCGUAGGAGGUCCAAGAGAAGUCCGUUUCCUCCAUUUUGCGGUACGCCAGACCCCUCCCAUGAACAGGAUCCCGUUUUGACCGUGGCCGGUCGAACACAAGGCCGUUUCCUCCGUUCUGCGGUAUGCCAGGUCUUGUUUCGAUCGUCGGUUCCGUCCAAACUGGUUGACUCCCGAUGAACAUGACGACGCAGUUUUUUCGUUCUGACCCAGCCAUGUACACGAGCCCUGGCCGUACGUAUGCGCGGGUAGGCAUUCGAGACCCCGCCCAUAUGUACGUGCGUGGCCAUAUUUUUUGGUGUGUAGCUGUAUGUACGUGUACACGGUUUAUACGAGAGAACCUGAACUACUACGUGGGGGGCUCUACUAUGACAUGUGCUGCUACUUACUCGACCACGGUUCAUCGUUGCAGAGCGACCGAUCAACCAGUAUGUACGUACAUGUUCGCGACAAGACAGACAACGGUAUGUACGCUUCGACCGGGUGGGUCCCAGCUGUCAGGGAGGAUAAGGACGCACUUCCUUGCGUGCGAAGAUAUAGCUGCUGGGUCCCAGCUGUCAGGGGUGAAUCUAUUUUUUUGCCUGUAAUAAGGACGCACUUCCUUGCGUGCGAAGAUAUAGCUGGUGGGUCCCAGCAGUAAGGGGGAGAAAACAUUAUUUUCUAGGGUACAAAGGAUGCAGUUGCAUGCAUGCGUCCAUGGGCGUGGUGCGGCCCCACUGUCAGCCUCUCACGUACAGUCAUCUUCCGAUGACUCUCGUUUGUUGACCACAUUGACCACACCGUGCCGAGCGCACCAAGGACGGUGGACGACGGCGAGGCCCCAGACUGGAAUGACCCAGAGAUGGGAAAGACGCGGCAGUGGAGUCGCAGAUGGAGAGGAGUGGGAAACUUGACUGGUUCGGGUGUGCGGCAACACUACCACGGUGCCGCCCACGGGAGACAGGAGUAAGAACAGAGGUUGAAGAAGGAACACAACUGUUGGAUUAACAUCCAACGGACUAGCUGCUAGAAUCAUUUGUUUAUUAAGUUGACAAAGCCCUGCGUACACGUCCGCUUAGUAGGCCCACAAGUCAGCCACCAAAUCUGACAGGUUCCAGCUGUCAAUGGGAGGAAUAGUUUUUUUGCAUAACAAGGAGGCACUUCCUUCUGUGCGAAGAUACAACCGGUGGGUCCCAUUUGUCAGGGGGGGAAACAUUUUUUUCAGCUUAAUAAGGAGGAACUUUCCUUGCGUGCGACCAUGGACCUCGUGGGUCCCAGUCGUCAGGCUCUCCAUGUACAGUCCUCUUCCGAUGACUCUCGUUUUUUGACCACGCCGUGCCGAGCGCAGGGAGGCGGUGGACGAGGGUGAGGUCCCGGACGGGAACGACCUGGAGAUGGGAAGACGCGGCAGUGGAGUCGCAUAUUGAUAGGAGUACAAGGGUUAUAACUGGUUCUGGUACAGCGUGGGGCUGCAGUCGGUGGAGAAUAACAGGAGGUGUGGAGGGAUAGCCUGGCCGGUGGUGGGGUAGCGUGUCACAGUGAUGCGUGCUAAGCAGAGCCGCUAGCCGCCGAAGGCCGGACCAGGCGGUCCCGGCGACGCUGGAGGAAGAAGACGAGAGAUUGAAGGUGCAUACUGGCCGUUGGAUAUAAAUACAAUGGCUGUGGAUGUCAUAAUCAUUUGUUGACCAAGUUGACAACGCCUUGCGUAGGGUUCGACCUAUUGGCCCACAUGCCAGCCUGCAAAAAUGUGGCAUAUAUUUAACCCAUGUUUUCUAGAAUUUACAGUCCAUUUGCUGGGCUGGGUGAAACAAUAAUUUCGCGUCAAUGCGGCCCAUUUAAUAUUUUUUAAGAAAUCCCAACCCAUUUGCACUUUCUUGAAAUUCACGAAUUAGCUGGGCUCGUUCUAUAUGUAAUGUUAGGUUAGAAGGAGCAAUUAAUAUCAAAAAAUAAACCUGAGUGACACAUUUUUUCUGUAUAAAAUUAACAAAUUAGCGAGUUAUUGCUCAAAAACAAAAAUGAGCGUGUUAUUAUUACAUUGGUCCUUAAAAUCUUCGCAUGCUUUUGUAGGCAAUCACCCGGGUUUUCCUUGCCCGUGAGUCAGAAAGAACCAGGAUUUUCCUUGCCAACUUCUGUUAAACAUUUACUUUUAUAAGUUAAUAACACGUGGGAUGUUUUUAUAAUCUAUAUAUAAGUCUCUAUAAAAUAUACGAUAAUAGUAAUAAUAUAAAUAUAUAUAUAUAAUGUGGUUAGGGAAAACAUAAAUUGGACACAACAUUAUUAUUCUUAUAUAUAGGUAAACAGAACAGAGAUCUGCGUUUUAUUGAAAAAAUACAUUGGGCUGCCGAUCUUUAAGAAAAAGUAAAACCUAUGCUGGGAGGCCCAUAGGCCGGUAUGGACCUCAAAAAAUAAGUUGAAACCACUAUCUCCGUAUGUCAAGGGCUAUGCAUGUUAAAAAACAAACCUAGGCCUAGCUGAUACUUGUUUGCCCUCUGGAAAAAAAUGAUACCAUCUAGAUCCCCGACACCCCUUUCCCGCAACAACAAAAAAAAAAA